rnacentral:rRNA from 1 species
AUUGAACGCUGGCGGCAGGCCUAACACAUGCAAGUCGAGCGGAUGAAGGGAGCUUGCCCCUGGAUUCAGCGGCGGACGGGUGUGUAAUGCCUAGGAAUCUGCCUGGUAGUGGGGGAUAACGUCCGGAAACGGGCGCUAAUACCGCAUACGUCCUGAGGGAGAAAGAGGGGGAUCUUCGGACCUCACGCUAUCAGAUGAGCCUAGGUCGGAUUAGCUAGUUGGUGGGGUAAAGGCCUACCAAGGCGACGAUCCGUAACUGGUCUGAGAGGAUGAUCAGUCACACUGGAACUGAGACACGGUCCAGACUCCUACGGGAGGCAGCAGUGGGGAAUAUUGGGCAAUGGGCGAAAGCCUGGUCCAGCCAUGCCGAGUGUGUGAAGAAGGUCUUCGGAUUGUAAAGCACUUUAAGUUGGGAGGAAGGGCAGUAAGUUAAUACCUUGCUGUUUUGACGUUACCAACAGAAUAAGCACCGGCUAACUUCGUG